GGGAAUCUUCCACAAUGGACGCAAGUCUGAUGGAGCAACGCCGCGUGAGUGAAGAAGGUUUUCGGACCGUAAAGCUCUGUUGCUGGUGAAGAAGGAUAGAGGUAGUAACUGGCCUUUAUUUGACGGUAAUCAACCAGAAAGUCACGGCUAACUACGUGCCAGCAGCCGCGGUAAUACGUAGGUGGCAAGCGUUGUCCGGAUUUAUUGGGCGUAAAGCGAGCGCAGGCGGAAGAAUAAGUCUGAUGUGAAAGCCCUCGGCUUAACCGAGGAAUUGCAUCGGAAACUGUUUUCUUGAGUGCAGAAGAGGAGAGUAGAACUCCAUGUGUAGCGGUGGAAUGCGUAGAUAUAUGGAAGAAUACCAGUGGCGAAGGCGGCUCUCUGGUCUGCAACUGACGCUGAGGCUCGAAAGCAUGGGUAGCGAACAGGAUUAGAUACCCUGGUAGUCCAUGCCGUAAACGAUGAGUGCUAAGUGUUGGGAGGCUUCCGCCUCUCAGUGCUGCAGCUAACGCAUUAAGCACUCCGCCUGGGGGAGUACGACCGCAAGGUUGAAAC
rnacentral:rRNA from 1 species